GCGAUAGUAACUCAGUUGGUAGAGCGUUAGCUUCCCAAGCUAAAAGUCGCGGGUUCGAGUCCCGUCUAUCGCU
rnacentral:tRNA from 2 species